rnacentral:rRNA from 1 species
UACGAAGGUGGCAAGCGUUGUUCGGAUUUACUGGGCGUACAGGGAGCGUAGGCGGUUGGAUAAGCCCUCCGUGAAAUCUCCAGGCUUAACCUGGAAAGUGCAGAGGGGACUGUUCAGCUAGAGGAUGGGAGAGGAGCGCGGAAUUCCCGGUGUAGCGGUGAAAUGCGUAGAGAUCGGGAGGAAGGCCGGUGGCGAAGGCGGCGCUCUGGAACAUUUCUGA